UGAGUAACCUGCCCUUAACUCUGGGAUAAGCCUGGGAAACUGGGUCUAAUAUCGGAUAUGACUCCUCAUCGCAUGGUGGGGGGUGGAAAGCUUUAUUGUGGUUUUGGAUGGACUCGCGGCCUAUCAGCUUGUUGGUGAGGUAAUGGCUCACCAAGGCGACGACGGGUAGCCGGCCUGAGAGGGUGACCGGCCACACUGGGACUGAGACACGGCCCAGACUCCUACGGGAGCAG
rnacentral:rRNA from 1 species